GGAAUUCGAUUGUCUUAUCCUGGCUCAGGAUGAACGCUGGCGCGUGCUUAACACAUGCAAGUCGAACGGGAAACAUUUUAUUGAAGCUUCGGCAGAUCUUAGCUUGUAACUAGUGGCGGACGGGUGAGUAACGCGUGGGUAACCUGCCUUAUACUGGGGGAUAACAGCCAUAAAUGACUGCAAAUACCGCAUAAGCGCACAGAACCGCAUGGUUCGGUGUGAAAAACUCCGGUGGUAUAAGAUGGACCCGCGUUGGAUUAGCUAGUUGGCAGGGCAGCGGCCUACCAAGGCGACGAUCCAUAGCCGGCCUGAGAGGGUGAACGGCCACAUUGGGACUGAGACACGGCCCAGACUCCUACGGGAGGCAGCAGUGGGGAAUAUGCACAAGGGGGAAACCCUGAUGCAGCGACGCCGCGUGAAGGAAGAAGUAUCUCGGUAUGUAAACUUCUAUCAGCAGGGAAGAUAAUGACGGGACCGACAAGAAGCCCCGGCUAACACGUGCCAGCAGCCGCGGUAAUACGUAGGGG
rnacentral:rRNA from 1 species